rnacentral:rRNA from 1 species
AACGAACGCUGGCGGCGCGCCUAACACAUGCAAGUCGAACGAGAAGGCGUAGCAAUACGCUUGUAGAGUGGCGAACGGGUGAGUAAUACGUGGGUGACCUACCCUCGAGUGGGGAAUAACCCGCCGAAAGGCGGGCUAAUGCCGCGUACGCUUCCGUCCUCACGGGGACGGAAGGAAAGCUGUACCGUGGGUACGGCGCUCAAGGAUGGGCUCACGUCCUAUCAGCUUGUUGGUAGGGUAACGGCCACCAAGGCUACGACGGGUAGCUGGUCUGAGAGGACGACCAGCCACACUGGGACUGAGACACGGCCCAGACUCCUACGGGAGGCAGCAGUGGGGAAUAUUGGACAAU